AAACUCGGCAUUCAAUUAAACGCAGGACUUCGGGAAUGUCCGGAGAGCCGACAACCUUGCUUCGGAAGUUGAUACAAUACAUAAUACAUAGUGAUGACCAACUCCAUUUUUUUCAAUAACAAGCUUAAGGCUUUUAACUUUACCAAAUUGUUUGUCAUCCAUUGGCCUUUAGCAGCUAACUGAAAGGAACGAAUUUUUCUGAUUGAUAUGGUAGUAAGGUGACCAAGCCUUAAGUUUAAUAUUUAUAGAUUAUAAAUAGUUAAUUGUCUCAUUGACAUUGAUACCACAUCUCCGUAUUCUAGUACAUAAAUUAAAAGUCC
rnacentral:lncRNA from 1 species